GUUCAAGGCUACAGUGAGCCAUGAUCAUGCCACUGCACUCCAACCAGCAUCCAGGAUAUUGCAGUCCUCUUCAACAUCAUCAUCAUUUUCCUCAUGUUCUUCAACACCUUCGUCUUCCAGGCUGGCCUGGUCAACCUCCUAUUCCAUAAGUUCAAAGGGACCAUCAUCCUGACAGCUGUGUACUUUGCCCUCAGCAUCUCCCUUCAUGUCUGGGUCAUGAACUUACGCUGGAAAAACUCCAACAGCUUCAUAUGGACAGAUGGACUUCAAAUGCUGUUUGUAUUCCAGAGACUAGGGCUUUGAUUCCUGGGUCUAAGAAGGACAGCAAGUCCUGCUAAAUGUUAAACACUGACGGCAAUUAAAGCCCCAUCUUCACGCCCGGUAGAAGAUGCCAAUCAAAAUAAACUUCAUUCCUGAAGCACGGGGCUGGAAAAUCAAAGCUAUUCAACUCCUCAAGGCCCAGGGACUAUCAAGAAAGAGGCGGACAGAUGAGAUUGUAAAGGCUGAUUUUGAGAGAUAAAAUAAGUUCAGUUUCCCUAUAAAUUAAUCAUUAAUGUCAAAGGCACACUGAAGCAAGACCAGCAUAUGGGCCUCUGUGUCAGAUUAACAAGGUUUUCU
rnacentral:lncRNA from 1 species